GGGCGCUUAGCUCAGCUGGUUCAGAGCGCCGCCCUUACAAGGCGGAAGUCACAAGUUCGAAUCUUGUAGCGCCCACMS
rnacentral:tRNA from 1 species